UAUUUGGUUGGUUUUUUGAACAUUGAAAAAGUCGUCAAUUUUGCCUUCAAGUAUUGAAAUGUAUUAUUUUAUGGCACGUAUCAACACACUAUGCGGUGGCCUAGUGGUUAAGAAUCCUGCAAGGUUCAUCCAUGAUAUUUUUACAAACGUUUAUAUCACAAGGUGAUGUCACUUCAAUCAGGAUAUCAGUGCAAUUUGAUGAGACCUGAGGAAGCGAAAUGACAUCACCAUCAUUGGUUUUAAUGCAGGCAAGAAUUUCAGCAUUUUCAACAAGAGAUAAAUAUCUAAAAAAGCAC